rnacentral:rRNA from 1 species
GACUGCGGAGGAUCAUUAUCGUAGGGCUUCGGCCCUGUCGAGAUAGAACCCUUGCCUUUUUGAGUACCUUUCGUUUCCUCGGCAGGCUCGCCUGCCAAUGGGGACCACAAAAAACACUUUGCAGUACCUGUAACAGUCUGAACAAACAAACCAAAAUUAAAACUUUCAACAACGGAUCUCUUGGUUCUGGCAUCGAUGAAGAACGCAGCGAAAUGCGAUAAGUAAUGUGAAUUGCAGAAUUCAGUGAACCAUCGAAUCUUUGAACGCACAUUGCGCCCUCUGGUAUUCCGGGGGGCAUGCCUGUUCGAGCGUCAUUACAACCCUCAAGCUUUGCUUGGUAUUGGACAUUGCCAGUUUCUGGCAGGUCUUAAAAUCAGUGGCGGUGCCAUUUGGCUUCAAGCGUAGUAAUUCUUCUCGCUUUGGAGAUCCAAGUGGUUACUUGCCAAUAACCCCCAAUUUUUUCAGGUUGACCUCGGAUCAGGUAGGGAUACCCGCUGAACUUAAGCAUAUCAAUAAGCGGAGGA